rfam:Schistosoma mansoni strain Puerto Rico chromosome 1, complete genome
GCACUGCUGAGGAGUCUCAUACCAGGACGAAACGGCCGUUCAGUAU